AGUUCCAUGGUGUAGUGGUUAUCAUGUCUGCUUUACACACAGAAGAUCCUGGGUUCAAGUCCCAGUGGAACUA